ACGCACGCUGGCGGCGUGCUUCACCCCUGCCAGUCGAACGGAAAGGCCCUGCUUUUGUGGGGUGCUCGAGUGGCGAACGGGGGAGUAACACGUGAGUAACCUGCCCUUGACUUUGGGAUAACUUCAGGAAACUGGGGCUAAUACCGGAUAGGAGCUCCUGCUGCAUGGUGGGGGUUGGAAAGUUUCGGCGGUUGGGGAUGGACUCGCGGCUUAUCAGCUUGUUGGUGGGGUAGUGGCUUACCAAGGCUUUGACGGGUAGCCGGCCUGAGAGGGUGACCGGCCACCUUGGGACUGAGAUACGGCCCAGACUCCUACGGGAGGCAGCAGUGGGGAAUAUUGCACAAUGGGCGGAAGCCUGAUGCAGCAACGCCGCGUGCGGGAUGACGGCCUUCGGGUUGUAAACCGCUUUCGCCUGUGACGAAGCGUGAGUGACGGUAAUGGGUAAAGAAGCACCGGCUAACUACGUG
rnacentral:rRNA from 1 species